AUGGAGAGACUUGUUAAUGUUCAUUACAUUGACAAGGAGGCAUUCUUGAGUAACAAUGCCGACACGGGUGAGGAACCAUUGGUUUUUGAUAGAAGCCCUAGCUAUGAGGAUGUUGUUGCAAAAGUGAGACAAGUCUUGAAGUGGAUGGACACCAAUGUUGAUGUUAAGUUAAUAGGAAGGUAUGAUGUUGGAGUUGGAGCCAAAUCUCGCUUGAAAAGUAUGCCUAUCACCUCGGAUUUGCAUUGGGAUGUAUACAAGGAAAAAGUAUCCCAAUCGGAAGACAAGUCACUUGAAUUGUUUGCCACCACUGAAUCUCCUCGGUUUACCUUUGAUUUGAACCGGCAUGUCUCUUCCCCAAUGGAUGACAUGAGCGUUGAGUUGUAUGCCCCCAAUGCUUCUAGCCAACCACCAACUAGCCAAGCAAAUGAGGUUGAGUUGUAUGCCCCCAAUGCUUCUAGCCAACCACCAACUAGCCAAGCAAAUGAAGUUGAGGUGAUUGCUAGUGACGGAGUAAUUCAAGAGGAUGAAGAUGCUUAUGAUGACGACGAAGAGCAAGAGGAAGGGUUUCAUGGCAAUGAUGUUGGUGACUUGGAUGUGUACAUAGCGCAAAAGGACAUGGAUCGUGACUUGCCUUUUAGGCGUCAAUAUGCGUAUGACUCGGAUGACGAGGGUCCAGUUGAACAGUUGGACGAGGAUGGAUUCACAAAGGAGGAGAACCAAAUCCACUUUGAGCUGACGGGCUUACAAAAAAGAACUCACUUAUUUAAAGAUCUGGUGUGUCUGAUGGACACCCAGACGCCAAGGUCACUGGCGUCUGCCUCCCACACCCAGACGCCAGGGUCCCUGGCGUCUCGCUUGCUUUGCUCACGCAGGUGA
rnacentral:rRNA from 1 species